rnacentral:rRNA from 1 species
GAUGAACGCUGGCGGCGUGCCUAAUACAUGCAAGUCGAGCGAACAGACGAGGAGCUUGCUCCUCUGACGUUAGCGGCGGACGGGUGAGUAACACGUGGAUAACCUACCUAUAAGACUGGGAUAACUUCGGGAAACCGGAGCUAAUACCGGAUAAUAUAUUGAACCGCAUGGUGCAAUAGUGAAAGACGGUUUUGCGGUCACUUAUAGCUGGAUCCGCGCCGCAUUAGCUAGUUGGUAAGGUAACGGCUUACCAAGGCAACGAUGCGUAGCCGACCUGAGAGGGUGAUCGGCCACACUGGAACUGAGACACGGUCCAGACUCCUACGGGAGGCAGCAGUAGGGAAUCUUCCGCAAUGGGCGAAAGCCUGACGGAGCAACGCCGCGUGAGUGAUGAAGGUCUUCGGAUCGUAAAACUCUGUUAUUAGGGAAGAACAAAUGUGUAAGUAACUAUGCACGUCUUGACGGUACCUAAUCAGAAAGCCACGGCUAACUACGUG